rnacentral:rRNA from 1 species
GAGGGACGGCAUCCAGAACGCGAGGGGACGACUAGAAAUGUCCCCGUGGGCGACUUGAGAUGGGGGAAAGGUAAAUCCGCCCCGUAAUUCAAGAGUUGACCGCAAUGAGCCUGGUUCUCAGGGUCGCGGGAAGGAUGUCCAAGAAAAGCUCCUAGGGUUGAAAACUAGCGACCGUACUAAAACUGACACAGGUAGGCGAGACGAGUAGUCUCAGGCGCUCGGGAGAAUGGUGGUUAAGGAACUCUGCAAAUUUUCCCCGUAAGUUCGCGAUAAGGGGAGCCGGCUUGCCGGCCACAGAAAAUCGGCUCUAGCAACUGUUUAUCAAAAACACAGGUCUCUGCUAACUCGUAAGAGGAUGUAUAGAGACUGACGCCUGCCCGGUGUUGGUAGGUUAAGGAAGAGGGUUAGUCGCAAGACGAAGCUCGCAACCGAAGCCCCAAUAAACGGCGGCCGUAACUAUGACGGUCCUAAGGUAGCGAAGUUCCUUGUCGGGUAAGUUCCGACCUGCAUGAAUGGCGUAAUGACUGGAGCACUGUCUCAACCACCAACCCGGUGAAAUUGUAGUCGUGGUGAAGAUGCCACGUUCCCGCAGUUAGACGGAAAGACCCCAUGAACCUUUACUGUAGGCAGGUAUUGGGUUGAGGUACGUUUUGUGUAGGAUAGGUGGGAGGCUACGAUCCGCUGGCGCCAGCUAGCGGGGAGCCAACGUUGAAAUACCACCCUGAAUGUGCUUUAAUUCUAACUUCGUCCUGUGAAUCCAGGCGAAGGACAGUUCCUGUUGGGCAGUUUGACUGGGGCGGUCUCCUCCAAAAGAGUAACGGAGGAGUGCAAAGGUACCCUCAGCCUGGUCGGCAAUCAGGCUUCGAGCGCAAUGGUAGAAGGGUGCUUAACUGUGAGACUCAUCAGUCGAACAGGUACGAAAGUAGGUCAUAGUGAUCCGGUGGUACCGGAUGGAAGGGCCAUCGCUCAUCAGAUAAAAGGUACUCUGGGGAUAACAGGCUGAUCGCUACCGAGCGUCCACAGCGGCGUAGCGGUUUGGCACCUCGAUGUCGGCUCAUCACAUCCUGGGGGUGAAGAAGCUCCCAAGGGUUUGGCUGUUCGCCAAUGGAAGUGGUACGUGAGCUGGGUUCAGACCGUCGUGAGACAGGUCGGUCCCUAUCUGCUGCGGGCGGACGAAACUUGCGGAGGUUCUUCUUUAGUACGAGAGGAUUUAGAAGGACGCACCUCUGGUGUUCCAGUUGUCACGCUAGUGGCACGGCUGGGUAGCUAUGUGCGGAAAAGAUAAACGCUGAAAGCAUCUAAGCGUGAAGCUCUCUCCAAGAUUAGGUUUCGUAGGAUAAUUCCGAAAGUCCCCUUGAAGACGACAAGGUUGAUAGGCCGGAUGUGUAAGUGGGGUUAACCCAUUCAGCUAACCGGUACUAAUGGACGAACGCUUGGCC